rnacentral:rRNA from 1 species
UACGGGGGGGGCAAGCGUUGUUCGGAAUUACUGGGCGUAAAGGGCUCGUAGGCGGCCAACUAAGUCGGAUGUGAAAUCCCCAAGCUUAACUUGGGAACUGCAUCCGAUACUGGAUGGCUUGAAUCCGGGAGAGGGAUGCAGAAUUCCAGGUGUAGCGGUGAAAUGCGUAGAUAUCUGGAGGAACACCGAUGGCGAAGGCAAUCCCCUGGGCCUGCACUGACGCUCAUGCACGAAAGCGUGGGGAGCAAACAGG